rnacentral:lncRNA from 1 species
GGAGUAAGAGAUGAGUAUCCUUUGUUCUGUUUUUCCUCACAGUAUAACUGCAUUAAGUGGGCACCAGAAAAGGGGCAUCUAUACAUCAGGCCCCUGCCUCUAAUUGGGUACGGAAAUCCUAAGGCCCAAAUCAGUAAGCACAGCAUUCUCAAGCAGGACAUUCCAAGGGAAAGAAAUUUAAAAAUCCCCUCUCCCGAAAACCUAACGCAUUUCACGGAAACAAAGCAGCAGCACCAACUCACAAAGAACCUCGCUUUUAGAGGCGCAGCAGCGAGUCGCUUCACUUCACAGGCCUUUUCUGGACACGGACAGGCUGGGGAAGCAAAACAGGGUUCGUUACACCGCAGGCUUUCUGGACUCGGUCAACGCCCACCCCCCGCACCCCCUGGACCCUCGCUACCCGUAGCCACCCGCACGCAGACCCGAGAGGACCGCGGUCAUUUGGGUCCGCAGCUCGGAGACCACAACUGUCGUUCGGACCCCACAACUGCCCACCCCCGGGCGGCCCACCGCGUCGCUGCAGAGGACUUGCACUCCGAGGCUCUCCCUCCCACUUCCCUCUCAGGCCCCUUCUCCACGCCGGGCCUCGAGGCGAGGAAGGCGGCGCGCAGGACCUCCACGUCUCUCGAGGCACAAGAGGCCGGGGCAGCGCCCCAUUACGGCCGCGCGUGCUCAACCCCGCGCCUCCGGCUCUGAGCACCGCCAGCCCUCGCUCUGGAGGAAACGCCUCGUGGCCUGAGGCCCCGGAGCCCACCCUUGCAUCUGGUCCGCAGAACGAGCCCCGUGUGCCACGCUCCUUGUCUUCAGAAAAUAACGAAUAAAUCCAGACAUGAAGUAGGACAAUGUCUCUCCUGUUCCAGUCUGCGCUGCUCCUGUAAGAUCUAUUCCUUGUAGAAUGAUUAGCCAUGCCUGUGAUUGAAACAGAAUGAUAAAUAUUAAAAUAAAAGGCUCAUUUCUGUCAAGUGUUCCUCCUUUCUCAGCCCCAAACUUCGUUCAACGUUUUAGCUUCUAGGCAGUGGCAGAGGUACUGUGGGAAUGCUCCUAAGAGGCAGUUUUGCUCCUGAGUUUUAUAACAUCCAAAAGCCAGAAAUUAUUUGGGUUGGGGGGGGGGGAUCAGUGAAAUGUUAGAAUUAAAAACAGCAUACCUAGAGCUCUCCUCGGGGCUCGGUGGUUAGCAAAUCCAACUAGGAACCGAGAGGUUGCAGGUUCGAUCCCUGGCCUCGCUCAGUGGGUUAGGGAUCCAGCGUUGCCUUGAGCUGUGGUGUAGGUCACAGACGCAACUCAGAUCUGGC